CCAGGAAGUUCCUUGGAGGUCCUCGGAAAACCGGACAGUGUUCGUCUGGCCAUUCAUAUAGAUUUCUGAGAAAUGCUGAUUUCUGAUUUUCGUAUUUGUCUCAGGCACCAAAUUGACUUACUGGAGGUGACACUGAGCUGGUAGCUCUACCUGGAUGAUUCGUCAGCAUGAGAUGACAUUGGCUGGGCAUACUCAACAACUUCCUCCCCACCCACAGGUAAGACCACAGGAACCGUCUCUGAAGCCCACCUCCAGGGC
rnacentral:lncRNA from 1 species